rnacentral:rRNA from 1 species
CCACCGGCUGUCAAAAGCCGUCUGGUCACCUUUGGGAUUUAUAUCUACUCANAACUUUANUGAUUUUGUCUGAAACAUAUUAUGAAUACUUAAUUCAAAAUACAACUUUCAACAACGGAUCUCUUGGCUCUCGCAUCGAUGAAGAACGCAGCGAAAUGCGAUACGUAAUGUGAAUUGCAGAAUUCAGUGAAUCAUCGAAUCUUUGAACGCAUAUUGCGCUCUCUGGUAUUCCGGAGAGCAUGCUUGUUUGAGUAUNANUAAACACCUCAACUUCCAUAUCUUUUUUGAAAUGGGAGUUGGACUUGANUGAUCCCAACGCUUUUCCUCACCGAAAAGUGGCGGNUUACUUGAAAUGCANGUGCAGCUGGACUUUUCUCUGANCUAUAANCAUAUCUAUUUAGUCUGCCUAAAAAACAGAUUAUUACCUUUGCUGCAGCUAACAUAAAGGAGAUUANUUCUUGUGCUGACUGAUGCAGGAUUCACAAAGACAGGCUUCGGCCGACUUUGUAAACUCGAUCUCAAAUCAAGUAAGACUACCCGCUGAACUUAAGCAUAUCA